rnacentral:rRNA from 1 species
UACGGGGGGGGGCAAGCGUUGUUCGGAAUUACUGGCGUAAAGGGCGUGUAGGCGGCCAACUAAGUCCGACGUGAAAUCCCCAGGCUUAACCUGGGAACUGCGUCUGAUACUGGAUGGCUUGAAUCCGGGAGAGGGAUGCAGAAUUCCAGGUGUAGCGGUGAAAUGCGUAGAUAUCUGGAGGAAUACCGGUGGCGAAGGCGGCAUCCUGGACCGGCAUUGACGCUGAGGAGCGAAAGCCAGGGGAGCAAAGCGGG